rnacentral:rRNA from 1 species
AUUGAACGCUGGCGGCAUGCCUUACACAUGCAAGUCGAACGGUAACGGGCCUUCGGGUGCCGACGAGUGGCGAACGGGUGAGUAAUGCAUCGGAACGUACCUUUCAGUGGGGGAUAACGUAGCGAAAGUUACGCUAAUACCGCAUAUUCUGUGAGCAGGAAAGCAGGGGAUCGCAAGACCUUGCGCUGAUUGAGCGGCCGAUGUCAGAUUAGCUAGUUGGUGAGGUAAAGGCUCACCAAGGCGACGAUCUGUAGCGGGUCUGAGAGGAUGAUCCGCCACACUGGAACUGAGACACGGUCCAGACUCCUACGGGAGGCAGCAGUGGGGAAUUUUGGGACAAUGGGGGCAACCCUGAUCCAGCCAUGCCGCGUGAGUGAAGAAGGCCUUC